AGCAGGUGAAGCGCAGAAGGCCCUCAGGGGCUGCAUUCUUCCCGGGGCACCUGUGUCUGCCCCACUCUGUGGCUCCCAGGAGCAGCUGGAGUACCCCUCAAUGACAGCAGCAAGCACCUGUCAUCUGCAGGAGGCCUCAGGAGCCAUCUAGUGUCACCUAUAGCUGAAGAAAAUGAGGCACAGAGAGGACACAGCUCUGAGGACGGUGGCACAGAAGGAAAGACCAAGAUGCAGAGAGAUGUCUAAAAGGUGCCAGAAGGUGACUAUCCAGCCCUGGUAUCACUGCCUGGUGAUUUCGUUUCUUUGAUCUUCACGAAUGGCCUCACUGGCUGUGAUUUGGACAGAAAUCAGCUGCCACGUGCAACAUUCUCCCAUGGGAACAUGUGUCCGCAGUACCUAUCUCAGAGCCCAAAUCCUUCCUGCCCCACAGCCUUCUCCUGGAACCUGCCUUGGAUUGGCAGCUUUGCAUAACAAACACCACUCCUGAGCUGCCCAGCAUGGGGAGAAAGAAGAGACCGCCUGAGCCUCACCCUUUGCUGGCCAGCUGUGUUGACUUACUACAGCUGACUUCUCUGAGCCGGAGCUUCCUCGUCUGCACAAGGGAGACGACAGCUGGGCCUGACUCCCAGGUUUAUGAUAAGGAUUAGAGGAGCAUUAGCAAGGGCAAUGUUUGUAGUAGAGACAGGCAAACAGAAGACUCUCAGUACAUGGUAUUGUACUAAUGGUAUCUAACCCCAUUAGACUCAGACACUGAAGGAAAUGCAGUAAAGCACACACAGCUGAUUGACAAAAAUGCAAUGACAUUGUACAGAUUUGAAAAUAUUAGC
rnacentral:lncRNA from 1 species